UCAGAUCAAAUUAUAUGGUGUAUUGCACAUUUGUUCAUACGGUGUGCCACAAUAUUUUUACUUAUUGCAAUUGUGUCCUGAUUAAAUUAAAAUAAUUAAACAUUCUUAUUGUUAUUUUAUUUUUUAAUCGUAAAAAUUGGAUUACUAGACACUUCCAUCUUCCCCAUUAUCGCCCAUCACUGCUUGCUUGAUUGCAUCAUAACAGGUUCUGCAAUCAUAACAAAGCAACCCAUUAUUAAAAAAAUUCAAACUUUAAUAUCAAAAAAGGAUUUUGAACAAAACCCAAUAUUAAAAGAUGGAAAAAAGUAAAGAAAUCGUACAUGAUCAUAUUGAUGAAGAGAAAGGAGAUUGAUGGGGCAAGCUUUACCAGUUUAAGUUGCGUAUAGAAUCAGAAGCUUAUGAUACCAUUGUUGUUGAAUCUCUUUCAUUCUCUAAGUUCUAAAAAUGAUUCAAAAGGGUUUUUUCACCUUUUACUGGAAUCAAAGGCUCACAAAUUUUUAUUGAGGUUUUGAGGCUCACGAAUCAAUGUUCUCAACGCUUUGCUCGAGAUCUCAGCUGAUAACGAUACCACAAUCCAAGAAACGAUGGUGCCGUUACAAGAAGAACAUGAACCAAAAUGUAUAAUUUAGGUUAGUAAAGUCCCCUUCUGCAGAUGAAGAAGAAAGAGAGGAUGAUUAAAAAUGAUUUAAUUUGAGCAUGAAAUCCCCUUCUGCAGAAGAAGAAGAAGAAGAAGAAGAAGAAGAAUAAAGGACCAAGAAGAAGCAAAAUAAAUAAUUUGCAGAUGAAGAAAAAAGAACCAACAAGAUAAGGCAAAAUCUAUGGUACACCCAAUAAUUUGAGUGUAUUGGUACAUCAAAUCCUUAAAUUAAUAGUUAAAUGAGUUAUUUUUUGUAUGAAAAAAUUAUUUUCUAUCAUCUAUGAUUAUAAUAACUAAAUCUUAU
rnacentral:lncRNA from 1 species